AAAAAAAUUUCAAACUUUUUUAUUAAUUAUUCGAUUUUUUAGAAAAAAAUUUAAAAGAGUAAAUUAAAUUUCAAAUUUUAUAUUUAUAGUAAAAAGGAAGAAUUGCCCCUCCAGCCCCUCUAGCACAUCCCCCUCUGCAGACGCCCCUGUACAUAAAGGCAUACUCCAUAUAGAUUACAGACUAUAAUUAUCUCCAUAACUUUUGAACCAGAGUGAGGUUUUUUUCCAUCUCGCUCACCAAUUAAGAGAAUAAAUUGACGGAGCAAUUUAAUACCAUUUAAUUCACUCUGAUGGUUCCUCAUUUUUAAUAAUAAUAACAAUAUUUAUCAAAAUGAUUUAAUAUGAUUAUUUUAGCCUUUUGCCAAUUUUUUAUUUAUAUAUUAAAUCCGAGAAGGAAGUUUCCUUUCUUUCUAUCAGGGAUGUGUGACCUUCAGGAUUGCUUUAUUUUGCAGCACUUGCUAAUAAUGUAUUAUCCUUCUCUAGGAACUUAGUACUUAUGUACAUGGAUAUUAGGAAGAAGAAAAGUGUGUUUUUCGUCGGAAGGGAUUUAGAAGGAAACGGGGAUUUAGGAGGAAAGAAGGUGGACGAAAGGUUUGGGUCCACCUCCUAACCAACAUCAUUGGUAGAAUGAGAAUAGCUUGGGACAAAAGUAAUUUCGUAUUUCCCGCUC
rnacentral:lncRNA from 1 species